CAUCAAGCGGGUACCGCGAGUCCGUGAGGACUGGGCCGAGAGGCCCGACCCUGGCACAGAAACGGCACCCGCCGGUCUCCCGAGGAGGAUGGGGCGGAAACGCCGAGAGGGAACCGGGGGAUGAAACGGCCAAUCCGCGGGAUGCAAGGGCAAGCCUCCGUCGAGGAGCACCCGCUCGAGACGGGUGGUGGCCCGCUAAGCCGGAUGCUGCCUAGAACAGAAGGUGGAUUACGGCCAGGACGC
rnacentral:RNase_P_RNA from 1 species